UUGGGAUCCAUUGGGGUCUGGUUUUCCUCCACUCUGCGUCUCCCCAGCACGAUGGCUGUGCUCAGCCCCAGUGGCUGUGCAAAGCUUCUGUGUGGAACGAGAUUUAAAGCAGCGCAGCAAAGAGGUGAUAGAAAAACCAAACUCUAUUAAAAACCCAUUUUCUGCAGGACCACGAAGCCUUUUGGUGCCGCUGUCCUGGCCCUGCUGGGGCUGCUCGCAGCUGGCUGAGCAGAGGCAGGAAGAAGGCUGUGAGCACUGAGACACAUAGCUGUCCUCAACUCAGCAGGGCUUUCUGCCUUCCCUGAGCUGCCCUGGGUGUUUUGGGGCUAGUGGAGCACAGAAAUGUGUUGAUGCAC
ensembl:lncRNA